GCCGUUUGGUGCACUUUUUGUUGUACCUGGUUCCCGUGCCCAGUUCCCCGGCAUUCUUACCGUGAGUUCUGUUUUGGAUUCUUUGUCUCCCUUGGACCGUGUCUGGAUUCUGGAUUUUGAAUUUUGCCUGCUUCCUGUUGGACUUGGUUAGCCUCAUUCGACUCACUUUGUUGUUUCCACCACUGCCAGCCGGCUUCUUCACCCUCGUACUGCUUCCUGGUCAUCUGCAUUUGGGUCCACGUACUGCACCCCAUAUAACAGUUUUGGGAGGUUUUUCUCGAUAAUGACAGAACUGGAGCCAUGAUAUAAAAUUCCAAGUUGCAUCACAAUCUCAAGACAAACAGUUGUAUGAGGGGAAAAAUAUACUCUACACCGAAAGCUAGCCCCGGGCGAUCUCCGUGCUGAUGCCGCCUCUCCAGUAUGGCAGGCUGGCAGAGGGAAACCCCUGGAGUGCAGAUGGACUGCUGCCUAACAUGCUGCCUCAGCAACAGCCUCCUCCAGCCAUCAAGAGUUCCCAUGCAGGAAUCUCACCGUCCCCGUCCCCAUCCUGCAGCAUCCCAUCAAUUACCACUUUGAAAUGAAAUAUUGAUGCUUCGAGUUAUCAAAAAAACACUGCAUUCCUCCGCUUCCUUGCCGAGACUCCUGUCCACUCCAAACGGGGGGCGAGCUGACUGCCGUCUACUGUAACGUAGGACAUGCACAGCCACCACUCAUCUGCAGAUGGGGGCGAGAGGGAGCCAGAAAGAGGGAGAGAGCGAGAGAAAGAGAGAAUUUUCUGCAUUUUCGAUCAUGAAGCAUCUUGUUGGACCAUGAAGUCACGGCUUUGGCUCAGAGAAAGGCUGGGGUGGGCUAUCCGGGGAGGUGGCGGAGGAUGAGGAGGAUGUUUUCUAGCUGCCAUUUCACUCAGACACCGUUGUUUGAGUGAGGAGAACAUGGCAAAAGGGAAAAACAUCUGUUAGCAACCUUUCCUGGCCUUGUUUUCCCUGGGGUUUGGCAGCUCUAGCAUAGCUGCAACUGUCUGUCUAUUUGAGCAACGCUGCCAGUUAUUCUACUGAAAGAAAACACACCUUUUGUUAACUCCCUAUAUAGAGAGGCUGAUUGGAAAAUCAGUAUAUUGAUUUGUUUUGAUAAGUGGGGAAGGGGACAGUGAAGAAAGAAAAAACAACAACAAAAACAAAAUUAUAAUAAAAUUGAUCAUUGUGUCUAACAAAGUCAUUUGUUAGACACAAGUGUUACUUUCUGUGUUAUUACUGCACUAAGCCUAACCCUGAAAAGGACAUUUUAUGUAACUGAUAGAGAAGAUAAGGAUGUAUUUAGAUCUUUAACAACAAACUACAAUAAACUGAAUACAGCACGUAAAGACUUUAACACUCCAAAAUAGUUUUCGUCACCCAAAAUCAAUGGAUUUCUCAAGGAUCUAUGGAAGUGGAAAAAAAUGAAAAGUCCACUUAACAUUAAAUUUCUCAAUUUACUUUCGUCUGUCUUGGUUUGUCAGAUUGUGUCUCUUUUGGUUUUACCUCUGUCUUGUGUAAUGUGAUGCUAUUUUGUAUUUGUCGGGUUAAAUUGCUUACACUGAUUGCCUGCUUAACAGUUUUGUAUUAACUGUUUGCAUUACUUCCUACGUCUUGCCUCGCCCCUUUUAGGUUUUUAUUCUCCGUUCGGCUGCAUCAUGUUUUGCUUUCUUCUCUUCUGAUUUUAAAUGUUGUUUGUUUUAUUGUUGUUUUAUUGGCUAAACUAACAUCCAGCCAAGGGACAACCGCUGAAGAUACAGCUGACACUGGCACGUUUACUGUGAUGUUGAUUAAUGUGCAUUGUCCCUGUAAAAAUGUAUAAAUAAAUGUGUGGCAGACAAUGCGCAAUUUAAACUCGAAAAAGACAUCGCACAGUGGAUUUUUGCAUUUAAAUUUGUGUUCUGUCCUGGUUUUAGGUCAUUUCUAAUUAAAAUAAAAUGUAAAUGGUC